AUCCUCGUGACGAAAUCGGUAGCCGUGUAACACUUAAAAUGUUAUGUUCUUUGAGCAUGUAGGUUCAAGUCCUACCGGGGAUA
rfam:Sphaeroforma arctica JP610 cont1.11432, whole genome shotgun sequence.